UCCUCGUUAGUACAGUGGACAGUACCUCCGCCUGUCACAUGGAAAACCAGGGGUUUCGAUUCCUCUGCUGAGAGU
rnacentral:tRNA from 1 species